GUGAAAUAUAGGAGUAGUCUUAGAAAGACGAUUGGGUCAGCGGCAUACAUGAACCGCGUUAAUUAUUGUUCGUUUUAAUUUAAAUCUCAUCUUGUCAUCACUGCAAUUAAGUGAGUUGAUGAGAGCAAAAUUCGAAACAGAAAACCCCAUCAAAAAAUGAAGAAUCCUUGGAAGUUAUUGAAGUUACUACCAAUUCUAGUCAUCAAACAAUUCUUCAUCUCUAAAGCUCCAUUUUUUGUUUUGGGUUUGUUGGUAAGCUACGACUUCACGGAGAAUUGGGUAAAUUCUCUAAUGAUGGAUAACCUUUCAUAUUCUCUUAAGAGUGAUAGAAUAGCUGCCAUAAUUACAAAUCUACAAGAUGGCCUAUCAGAUAUAUCUGUUAUUUUUUUUUUCUUCGGUCUCUGAAGCCUCCACUGGUAGCUUCACUAUGAUGGCUUUCUGUUCAUCUGCCACCAUCGUGAUUGAAAAUGUGCAUUUGGUUCUUUAUCAUGACUAUUGCUGUCUACACCUUUUGAAAUUUCAGAAUUUUCUGAUUCUCCUUUGUGAUCUCCUCUGCUGAGCCUGUUUGUGCCACUGUCACCACUAUACUUCUUCAAAUCUUCAUCCAAUGGUUUAGAUCUGAACUCCAGAAACACAGCACUUGGUAAUGGCUUUGUCAACACAUCAACUAGUUGGACAGUUCCAAAGACAUGACUCACUUGAAUAAUUUUCUUAGUGACAUAAUCCUAGACAAAAUGAAGAUUAGCCGCAAAAUAUUUUGACUUUGAAUGUAGAAUUGGAUUUGCAGCCAACAAUACAGCACUUAAAUUAUCACAAUAAACUAAUGGAGCUGUUGAAAGUGUAGCUCCUAUUUCAAUCAUAAAAUUCUUGAUCCAAAGCAGCUCAGCCACUAAGUCAGUCAUUGCCCUAUACUCUGCAUCAGUACCGUUCCAGGCAGCAACACCUUACUUCUUUGAACUCCACAAAAUUAGAUUACUCCCAAGAAAAACAUAGAAGCCGCCAGUGAAUGUCCUAUCAUCUAGAUGGGUCUCCUCCCUAGUCAAAAUCACUAUAGGCUUUAACUUGAUGAACAUCUGUUUUAUACAAGUGUAGACCAAAAUCGAGUAUCCCAUGCACAUAUCUUAGCACCCUUUUGACUAGCUGAUGGGGCGAGAUGAGAUAUUGCCAAUUGCUUGGGUUUGAAUUUUCAUACUAAGAAUAUUAACGUUGCAAGUAUAGACCAAACCCAACAAUCGGUCGCCGAUCAAAUUGGAAAUUCAUAAAAUGUGUCUCAACUCAAAACCAAUUUAAAACCGAGAGUAUUUGACUCCCGGGUUGCCUCCCAAGGAAUCACUUGAGGGUAAUGAGUGUGCAAAUUUCGGUUGUAGUGAUCAAGGGGUUGUCAAUGAAGAAAUGAACAUAUAAAGCAAUAAAAGAACAUGCAAAAUUGUAAUGAUUGAACUAAUAAAGAAAUUAAAGA